rnacentral:rRNA from 1 species
UAGAACGCUGGCGGCAGGCCUAACACAUGCAAGUCGAGCGAGAAAGCACUUCGGUGUGAGUAGAGCGGCGGACGGGUGAGUAACGCGUAGGAAUUUGCCCAGUAGUGGGGGACAACAUGUGGAAACGCAUGCUAAUACCGCAUACGCCCUAUGGGGGAAAGCAGGGGAUCUUCGGACCUUGCGCUAUUGGAGAAGCCUGCGUCGGAUUAGCUAGUUGGUGGGGUAAAGGCCCACCAAGGCGACGAUCCGUAGCUGGUCUGAGAGGAUGAUCAGCCACACCGGAAAUUCCACACGGUCCAGACUCCUACGGGAGGCAGCAGUGGGGAAUAUUGCACAAUGGACGAAAGUCUGAUGCAGCCAUACCGCGUGUGUGAAGAAGGCUUUCGGGUUGUAAAGCACUUUCAGUAGGGAGGAAGGAGUUGUAGUUAAUACCUGCGACUAUUGACGUUACCUACAGAAGAAGCACCGGCUAACUCCGUGCCAGCAGCCGCGGUAAUACGGAGGGUGCAAGCGUUAAUCGGAAUUACUGGGCGUAAAGCGCGCGUAGGCGGCUUGUUAAGCUAGAUGUGAAAGCCCCGGGCUCAACCUGGGAACUGCAUUUAGAACUGACUCGCUAGAGUACAGUAGAGGGUGGUGGAAUUUCCAGUGUAGCGGUGAAAUGCGUAGAGAUUGGAAGGAACAUCAGUGGCGAAGGCGGCCACCUGGACUGAUACUGACGAGCUGAGGUGCGAAAGCGUGGGGAGCAAACAGGAUUAGAUCCCCUGGUAGUCCACGCCGUAAACGAUGUCUACUAGCCGUUGGAGGACUUGAUCCUUUAGUGGCGCAGCUAACGCACUAAGUAGACCGCCUGGGGAGUACGGUCGCAAGAUUAAAACUCAAAUGAAUUGACGGGGGCCCGCACAAGCGGUGGAGCAUGUGGUUUAAUUCGAUGCAACGCGAAGAACCUUACCAGGUCUUGACAUCCUGCGAACUUACUAGAGAUAGUUUGGUGCCUUCGGGAGCGCAGUGACAGGUGCUGCAUGGCUGUCGUCAGCUCGUGUUGUGAAAUGUUGGGUUAAGUCCCGUAACGAGCGCAACCCUUGUCCUUAUUUGCCAGCGCGUAAUGGCGGGGACUCUAAGGAGACUGCCGGUGAUAAACCGGAGGAAGGUGGGGACGACGUCAAGUCAUCAUGGCCCUUACGACCUGGGCUACACACGUGCUACAAUGGCCGGUAUAGAGGGCAGCGAUCUCGUGAGAGUCAGCCAAUCCCUUAAAACCGGUCGUAGUUCGGAUUGGAGUCUGUAACUCGACUCCAUGAAGCCGGAAUCGCUAGUAAUCGUGGAUUAGUAUGCCACGGUGAAUACGUUCCCGGGCCUUGUACACACCGCCC